UACAGAGGGGGCAAGCGUUAUUCGGAAUUAUUGGGCGUAAAGGGCGCGUAGGCGGCCUGGCAAGUGACGGGUGAAAGCCCUCGGCUCAACCGAGGAACUGCCUGUCAUACUGCCGGGCUUGAGUCCGGGAGAGGUGAGUGGAAUUCCCAGUGUAGCGGUGAAAUGCGUAGAUAUUGGGAGGAACACCAGUGGCGAAGGCGGCUCACUGGACCGGAACUGACGCUGAGGAGCGAAAGCCAGGGGAGCAAACGGG
rnacentral:rRNA from 1 species